CAAAUAUAUGAAUAUACACUUGUACAAAACCACAUUUAUACCCUGUCAAGCCCCCUCCCCUAAAGCUUUAAGAAGCAGCAUUUAAGCUUGAAACUCUGAAACAGCUGAGAAAUGAGAGCCCCACAGCAAUCAAAGCGAAAUUGGAUUUGCACCGUGAAUCAUCUGGUGAGGACUGCAGUAAUAAACAGGCAUAAAACAAUGGCAAUUUACUCACAUAUUAACAACUGUGCUGUCGAGGCAGCAAACCUUUUAAACCCAUAAAACCACCCUGCUGUGAGAAAAACAGGGCUACCCAGGGGCAUUCCCUUUUCCCAAGGAUGCGUGGAGAAAUUCCAAUUUCCAGCUUGCAAAUGAGGAAGAGCUUUUGGGAUACCUCAGCCAAAGUUUGGCUCUUUGUUCCUGUUGGCAUGUGUUGGCUUUAGGGAUUUUGGGACUCUUUUCUUGUGUUCCUGUCAGUUUUGUGGAUUUUAAACACCUCCUGCAAAUUUGGGGAAGUCUCCACUGACAAGGAGAAAGACCAAGGUGUUCCUCUCCUAAUGAUUCCAGCUGAAGCAUCCUGGCCAUGGAUGGGGUAAAGAUUUGGGACCUUUUCUUUCCAAAACCACCCUCCUGCCACAGCUGAGCUCAAAUUCCCCAUCCACCCGUUGUUCUGUCGGGUUUUAAAGCAACAAUGGAUGUGCCAGCCAGAAAGCAGCAGCUGUGAAGGGAAGAAGAGCAAAUUUUCAGCACAGGAGAUGGAUCAGACCUUGAUUUUUUUUGUGAAAAUCCCAAAACCUUGCUUUCAGUGAGAUUUUUAGCCAUGGUGAGCUGGACUAAAAUGGGCUGGGUCCCUCCUUGCCUCAGUCUUUUUGAAGGCAAAGGACAGAAGUGAAGAAGUCCAGAAAUCUCCAAACUGUUUGAAAUGUCCUGCUUGAGGCCGUACUAUAAAAAGUUAAAUUGGAGAUCUGGGCACAAUAAAUGCCAGAUAAUGUUCUCAGAAAGUGCAUAAAACCUAUUUUUGAUGCUUGCACCCUUCCCUCCAACAUCAAGACAUGUUAUCCACCACCACUGCACACAGGAAAUCUUUAAAUUUAGGCAAGUUUGGUUUAUUGAACUGAAUAGAACUGAACAUUUUUGCAAUAAACCCUUUCUUCCUGGGACUCAGUGUAAUUUACACUCUCUGAUUUGUCCUUCCCAGCCUCUUGGCAGGACUCUGUGUCCUGGGAUGUCACAGGGGCUGCUUGUGUGCUCCAUCCUGAUCUGACUUUUGGUGAUGAG